rnacentral:lncRNA from 1 species
CUUACUCAGGGAAUUCUUGGACUUCGAUUAAAGGUUUUUUUUUGGAAAUCAUCGUGGUUCUGGUAUGAAUCUCAGGUUUUUAAUUGAUUCUUAUAGGGUCUUAACAAGAAAAUUCUUAUCAAUAAUAAUAAUAUCAGGGAAUUCUUGGACUUCGAUUAAAGGUUUUUUUUUGGAAAUCAUCGUGGUUCUGGUAUGAAUCUCAGGUUUUUAAUUGAUUCUUAUAGGGUCUUAACAAGAAAAUUCUUAUCAAUAAUAAUAAUUAUAAAAAAAACAGCAGUAAAAUCUUAUUACAGACACAAUACAAAAAAAAUGAAGUAAAUAAUAGAAGAUUCACGAGGCUGGUAAGGAUCAAGAGAAAAGACGAGUGAGCCGACUUGAAAUUUUGGCAUUAUAAACACUAAGAAUAUUUUUUGGAUUUCUAUUUUUUUUUAUCUUCAAAAAAUACUGGAAUCAUAGGAUUAAGUUAAGAAGUGUAAAACUUUCUAUUACACAUAUCU